ACAGCAGCAGCCGCGGUAAUACGAAGGGGGCUAGCGUUGCUCGGAAUGACUGGGCGUAAAGGGCGCGUAGGCGGUUUUGACAGUCAGAUGUGAAAUUCCUGGGCUUAACCUGGGGGCUGCAUUUGAGACGUCAAGACUAGAGUGUGAGAGAGGGUUGUGGAAUUCCCGGUGUAGCGGUGAAAUGCGUAGAGAUCGGGAGGAACAUCAGUGGCGAAGGCGGCCAUCUGGGCCAAUACUGACGCUCAUGCACGAAAGCGUGGGGAGCAAACAGGAUUAGAUACCCGCGUAGUCCCUGUCUCUUAUAC
rnacentral:rRNA from 1 species